rnacentral:rRNA from 1 species
ACCUCGACACCUACUGGAGGCAGCAGUGGGGAAUAUUGCACAAUGGGGGAAACCCUGAUGCAGCGACGCCGCGUGAGCGAAGAAGUAUCUCGGUAUGUAAAGCUCUAUCAGCAGGGAAGAAGAUGACGGUACCUGACUAAGAAGCACCGGCUAAAUACGUGCCAGCAGCCGCGGUAAUCUGAGGCGGGCUGGCAAGGC